GCCACGAUCGUCUAGUCGGUCAGGACACCUCGUUGUGGCCGAGGAAACACCAGUUCGAUUCUGGUUCGGGGCA